AUUGAACGCUGGCGGCAUGCUUUACACAUGCAAGUCGAACGGCAGCGCGGGCUUCGGCCUGGCGGCGAGUGGCGAACGGGUGAGUAAUACAUCGGAACGUGCCCAGUAGUGGGGGAUAGCUCGGCGAAAGCCGGAUUAAUACCGCAUACGACCUGAGGGUGAAAGCGGGGGAUCUUCGGACCUCGCGCUAUUGGAGCGGCCGAUGGCAGAUUAGCUAGUUGGUGGGGUAAAGGCCUACCAAGGCGACGAUCUGUAGCUGGUCUGAGAGGACGACCAGCCACCAUGGGACUUGAGCACGGCCCAGGGUACUAAGGGAAGGAGCCGCCGGGAAUUUUGGGCAAUGGGCGGAAACCUUGUCCAGCAAUGGCGCGUGUGUGAUGGAGGCCUUCGGGUUGUAAAGCAGCUUUGGCGGGAACGAAAAGGACUGUGCCAAUACCACGGUUCGAUGACGGUACCCGCAGAAUAAGCACCGGCUAACUACGUG
rnacentral:rRNA from 1 species